GAUUCAGACAUCUUGGUAGUGCCAAUGUUGGGUAGCAAGCACAAAGAUGUUAUAAUCCCUCCCUUUGGGUGACUUCCUUAAUUAUUCAUUUUGCACAACCAUGCCUCUUGUCCAAAGAAAUCCAGGAGGAAAAAAAAAGGAACAAUAAUUGUUGGAUGCCAGUGGAUGAAUAUCCAUGCGUUGCUAAUUACUGUUUUAAUUCCAAAUGUGCAUAUUAACAUUGAAAACGAACUUAAUGAAAUCCUCCGUUGUGUCUUUGCCGCGAUGCCCAUCCUUGGCUCCGUGCCCGAUGCCAGCAGACCUCGCUGGAACCACGGAAACGUUCCUCCCGACCCAGAGAGUACCCCGAACUGUGACUCAAACCAGUUGUUUUCGAGCCAGAUGCCAUCACAUUUCCGCUGGCACACCACUUCAGACCCGCGAGUGCCAAAUUAUUGCUCCUUGGACAUCCUCCAAACCAGUGAGUCUUACCCAAGUCUACAAAUGCCAACUGUGAGAUUGGUUUCUCAUCUUCCAAGGGUACGUCCUUUACUGCUAACGAAUGAGUUGGCAUGGCGUCUCCUGCCCAGAUGGCUGGCUGGCUGCCUGGCACAGAGAGCUGUGCUUCAGAUGGUUGGAGAGAGAGUGAGAAGGAGCGAGUGGGAGGAGCUUUUUCUUGUGCCACCGCCACACCCCCAGUUAUCAGUAGAACAACAAAACAGCGUCAAGUUUCUGUUGUGUUUGUUUCAGAAUUCCCAUCUUCUCCAUUAAUCCUAUGUGACGCUGACUCCAUUUCCUAUUCGUCCCCCUCCCAUCCAUCACCGUAGAUGCACUUCCUGCCACGCAUCUUCUGUAAUAAACAGUGUUGCUGUAUUUUACAUUGCUGGAUAUCCACAGUUAUACCACCUUUGUGGUGCCGUGCAGCAACAGCUAGUCCAUUUGAAUGGCGGCUUCCAAAAUUCUUCCAGGUUUAGGUCAUGUCUUCAAGUCUUCAUCAGCAGAUGUUCACUAGUUCUCCAUAGCAGUACGGAAGUGAGAAUGACUGUGCAUCUGGAGACCUAUAUCUUCUCUUCAACUUGUAGUAUUUAUAGCAAAAAUAAACAAGAUUAAAUAAAUACUUAAAGCCUUAUAUGCUACCAAAAUGACGGCAGUACCCUUCUGUCUCCUGGGCUACAUCUAACUACCUACCCUAGAGAGCGAGCAGAAGUCCGCCUUGGUGCUACCACUGAAUGGAUGGCACUGUGCCAACUUCUCUCUGCCAUCAACCGUAUUCGCUCCUUGUUUCCCUUAUUUGCCCAUCCCCUUUCUAUCUCAGUCCCUCUCUUACUCACCCUCCUCCUCUCCCUAGCUUUUCUUUCACAUGCCCAUUACACCCACCUUCCCUCGCCCUCUUUUCUUCUAUAUGCUUGACAUUAAUUAACAUUUAGGUUAAUUGAUUUUAAAAGCUGAUGAUUUCUUGUAACUGUUUCGUACGCCGGGUGGCUAGCUGUUUUGUGUCCCGCCGUCUAACCUUGGCGCCUGGCUUCAGAGUGCCUCUUGCUUUGCCUUUUCUCUACACUGGUCCUGGAUGUCGAAAAAGAGAGCCUCAACCCACAAUCAGCAGCCCUGGUGUAGUGCAGUGAAGCCAGGGUGAGCAAUGCCUGCUUUCUGCCACAGUACACAGUGAAGAAUCUCAAGCAGCCUGUAUGACUGUAGCUAAUUGAAAUUGACUUUAUGCUGGCUGAUCUCACUGCACAAUGUUGUCCUGGCAUUUUAUAAAUAAUCAGUCGUCCUUCUACCACCUUUUUUCUCCAGUCUACAUUUUUCCAAGUGUAGUUUUAUUGCCUCUCUUCCCGCUGUACACACUUGUCCUUUCUCUCUCUCCCUCUAGCAGUCUUCCGUUGUAAUUGUCUUUAAUUGUUUCAGAAUCACUUAUCCUGUUCUUCUAAGCUGCACUUCACCAUCUACUUUGUCGAUGUUAUUUUUGUGGGACAUGGACAUGAAGCAGAACGAACAGGUUGUAAACGAAUGAGCGUGUGUAUUCCGACAUUUUUGAUAACAUGCGGUAACGAUCUUCUCUCUCUUUUGUCAUUAGUGUUUUCAUCAGCAGCGCAUAUUUAAUGUAAUAAUUAUCUCUGCCACAUUCGCAAUCGCUUUCGUUGCUUUUUGUUCUGGUCGUUUGGUGCGGAGCUGAUGAGGUUCAAAGCGGGAGACAGAAAUAGUUUAAUUAUUUAAUAAAAUGACCCCCCCCCACCCACCCACCCACCCAUCCUAAGAGGGUAGCUCGCAGUUCUUAAUUAGCAGUGCAGUGGCUUGCUUUCGGAGUCGAGACGAAAUAUACUAAUUAAGAGAGAAGUUUACGGAGGCUGGAAACUACCAUGUGACUUCAAGCGAAUGCUAUAUAAAUUCUUACAUAUUCUGUCUGUCUUCCGCUUGUACGAGGAAUGCGCACAAUUCAUGUUCGACAGUUGUUUGGCUGUUUAAUUAAAGAUUAUCUGAGCACAUAAAUGUUUCCCCUUUUCGAAGUCUGGUGUUUCAAGGGAAGCAAUGGCAAAGGGCUUCAUAGGGCUCAAACAUGCUUUAUUCUUUAUUGUUUUAUAGUCUUCUUUCAUUAUUAAAUAAAAAGCAGCAACUGGGCAAUUGAGGCAACAAGAGGAAUUCAUUAUGCAAAUUGCCCAGUAUUUGCAUAAUGUCUUAUGCCAAGAAUAUGCAAAUGAACUGUAUAAUUUAUGAGCGCCUGCGUCUGUCUCAUAGUGUUCCCAUAACUUACAAAGAGUUUUUGUUUUUUCACCUCGUCUCUCCUCCUAUCCAAGCUGGCACGACAUGCACCACGUUCGCAGACCAGACCCACACUAAACAAGCACACCCACAAAAGGGGUUGCUGGCUGGGUACUGUGACUGGGUGGGAAAAAAACUUGUCUGGCAGACUGAUGGGGGAUGAGGAGGCAAGGGGAGGGGAUGGGUGGUAUGGGAGAAAUGUGUAGGGGGGCACAUAAAUCCCUCUACAAAGGCUCAGUAGCAGAUGCUAAUUCUGUAAAACAACUGCGAAACUAAAUAAAAUGAGAGACAAAAAACAAAGACGGAAGAUUUCGACUGGGCGGAGCGACAGCGAUUUCUGACUUUUCUUUUUGUCUUGUUGCGAGAGCGUUUGUUGUGCGCUCUUCCUCUUUUCUUUGAUGCCUGCUUUUGAGAUUUUUUUUUUUCCCCCUGCCAUCGGAGCUGGCAGCUUUUUCCUCUCGUGGAGGAUUUUCUCAUGAGUCUGUUGGAUGAAGGCAGCUGAGAGCUGGGUGGGAUGGAGAGGAGAGAGAAACACACAAGGAGAGAGAGGCUGUAUCUCAAGGCAUGCGUGUGGGCUCCAGUCAGUCUCCACUCGUACCCUGGGAUGCCACCACUCAGCCCAGCCAAGCCCAGCACAGAGCAUCCAGGCUGUAUCCAGGGAGACUGGGACCAGACAUCCUCAUGUGUGAUAUAAAUUGCAAACCAGUUGUUUGGGCUUCUCAUUCCCCAGCCGGAUCCGGUUUGCUGCAAUUAUUGUAUUACGACUCGUUUGUAAUGAUUGGCCUGCUUUGCAUAUUUGAUGUGAGGCUAAUGGCUAAAGAGACAAUUCCACAUUGUUCCGGAGAAAAAAGGCCACAGCGGACAGCGUUGGAUAAAAGACUUCCACCACUGCAAUCCAAUUCACUAAGGACAUGAAUGUUUCACAAAAAUAUCUUGUUUUUUUUUCCUGAAUUCUUCCUCAGGGCCUGUAACCACAGAUACUCCAGAUGUCAUGUCGUCAUAUUUUUGCAUCAAGUGCAUCUGUGCUGGAACUUGGAAUCUUUCUACGUUUCCUCACACUUGGACACUGUCGAGCUUGUGAUUGUAGAAAGGUGUUUGUGCCAAGACCACCCCAUUGCACACUAACACAGUGAGUGUGCCCACCUCUCCCUGAGCCUGAAGGGGCAUCUGUUCCCUCCUUGUUGGACAGUGAUUGUGUUGCAGCAUAUGCCUGCGCUUGAGUGUGUGUGUACAUUAAUGCAUAUGACGAGCAGAAAGAGACAAAGGAGACUGCGUUAUGUAAGUCAGCAUGUAUCUCUCCUUGGUUGUCCAACACAUGCACACUUGCACUUACACAUGCUUUAAAGGAGUGGACUGUGUCACCAUCUGCGCUGCUGAUGACGACUUUGGAAGGAAAUUAAAGAAAGAAGACCAUCCCUUGGAAAUACUGACUGUUCUUCGAUGUGUAAUUUCACAUUUUGACAGUUCCUUUUAUUUUACACUCGAUUGCACUUCAUGUCGCUAAUUCCAUCUCGGAUCUGUCUUAAUUAGACCGUCGAGAUCAUUAUCCAAUGCUGUUUCAUGUUGUCAGGAUUCUCGUUUUGCAUUUUUAAAAUUCAUUUUGUGGUAUAACGAUGCGGUGAAAUUGCCAAGAUUUAUGCAUGGUAUUCUUGUGAGCAAUUAUGUUUUGGAAUUAGCAUUGAACUGGCCUUUUAUAUUGCACAGGACUUUCAUUAUCUCUGAUGAAUGACACAUUUGAAUGUGGAAUGUGUGGACUUGGUACGGUAUUUGAAUAUGCAUCAGAUUUUUCAGCUUGGUGCUGUAAUGAUUGCACAAAUUGGUUCUUCUAAUAUGCAUUUUUGUAUGUUAACAAAACUCGCUAACUCACUACAACACAAAGUAUUUUAGUCCUAUUAUUAUUAUUAUUAUUCAUAAUAAUAAUAAUAAUAAUAAUAAUAAGAAGAAUAAUAAGAAUAGUAUCAACAGUAAUAAUAACAAUAACAUGAAAUGAAAAAUAAGCAACAAAUACUGAAAUAAGAAGCAAAUUACCCUCUUGGUAAUAAAUGUGUGUUUUUUCCUGUAACAUUGUAGGCUCAGAAAGAUUCUGUCUAACAAGGCCCUAUUGGGUAAAACAAGGUCUAAAUGAUACUGAUACUUCUAGAAAACAAGCAGAGUUUAAAUUUUAAUUAUAAUGUGCUGCCAUAAUUGUUCAUAGAAUAUGUAUAUCAAAAUUUUAACUCCUUGUUUAAUUUUGUUGGAAGUUUUUUGUAAGAUCACUACUGCAGUUGUGUCUUCAAAGUCUCUCCAAAUCAAAGAGACACAAAUUAUGUUGGCCUGUAGGUGUAAAUAUUAGUUGAAGUUGAUGAUGGAGGAAAUAUUGUAUGUGUUUGUUUGUAUAAGGUUAGUGUGCGCGCAUCUUUGAUAAAGAUAUUAAUGAAGAAAGAUUUGGCAAUGAGAAUUGUCUUAAACAGCAGGUUUCCAAAGAGACAGUAGAUAUAACUAUUUCAAACCAUUUUCAAAGUCAAUAUUAAUACUAAAAUUUAUUAUUGGAAAGAUACAUUUUUAGUGUUUUGUGGAAUAAAAUUAAUGUUUUUUUUUUUUUAAAUAUCAAACCCGUUGUUUUAACAGUUGUUUUAAAUUGGAUCCAAGUUUCUAAGGACAGGAUGAAGAAAGUUUGUCAGCACAAACUAACAGGCACUUAUAUUUUUUCAAAACAGUGCUUUGUUCCCGUAAAGGUCCCUGUGACUCCUGUGUAUAUUAAUGUUGUCUAACACUAUGGUACAUAUGCAUUAUGUUCACUUUGCAGCAGAUGCACAGACUGCCACAUAGGUGCCACCGAGAUGAGGUAUCUUGAUUAUGUAACCUACAGCUCAUGAGGUGGUUAUAUGCAGAACUGACUGGUAUCCAUGGUGACCGCAUCCCUGUUAAAGUAGGAGCUUGUUACCUGCUUGUAACCUUUUAUACAAUAUCUAUGAUUUACUGUGAUUUAGAGUUUACUGUACAAGUCAUUAAGCCACACAAUAAUCAUCUGAUGUUCAUCUGGUGUUUUCUAAGAUUCUUAUCCAAGCCAGCCUGUUGAAAUAUUUGUGGUCUGCUUGACUGAGCCAAAGAACAACAUACUGACUGUACUACAGCUUCCUGGAGGAUAUGCAGGACCACUGUCCUUCUCCAUCAUCUGACUGAAUGUAGUUUUUCUCUGAAGGUCUUUGUCCAUACUCCAAACAUUUUAUACGUUGUUAAGGCAGCUACAAUAACAGCUUUCAAUCUUAAAUUUUUUUUGGAUUUUGCAUUGUAUGAAAGCGAUGCCCUCUUAACUGAUGUCCUUGGUUGAAUUUUAUCCAAAGGGCUGUUCCAGUGUUUCAAUGUAUUUUGUACAGUCUUUCAUCUGUCUCUCUCUUUUUAAAGUUUUCCUCAUUCAAUAUCUUUACAGCAAAAGCUGAUAAGGAAGGUGCUACCUUUUUGUUCCAUCUGAAAAGAUCAAGUAAACUGUACACUUCAGAAAAAUGAACAAGGACAGAAGAAGACAUCCAAUUAUUUAGCCAGGUAUGAGGCUGAGUUUUCAGCAUUCAUUUCAAAAACUGAGAACUUCAUGGUUUAUUAUUUUUGGUUUGGUUAUUGGAAAAAAAUUGCCCAUCUAGUAAAAUGAUUUGAAGAGAAAAUACAGUUUUAUCAAUAGUUGGAAUUAAAACUGAAACUUCUUUGUAAGUGAGCAAUUAACCAAACCAAACUUUGGGCCCAUCAUUACUACAGUAUCAACAUCAACUUUAGUUUUGAUCUAAACAAUUUUCUAAUUUUUUUCCUAUCUUUAAACAGAUUUGUUGUUGCGGUAUCAUGUAUGCCAGAUUUUGCUCUUGUGAUAAUAAAUCACGUGGAAUCAGA